rnacentral:rRNA from 1 species
UCGAGCGAACAGACGAGGAGCUUGCUCCUCUGACGUUAGCGGCGGACGGGUGAGUAACACGUGGAUAACCUACCUAUAAGACUGGGAUAACUUCGGGAAACCGGAGCUAAUACCGGAUAAUAUAUUGAACCGCAUGGUUCAAUAGUGAAAGACGGUUUUGCUGUCACUUAUAGAUGGAUCGCGCGCCGCAUUAGCUAGUUGGUAAGGUAACGGCUUACCAAGGCAACGAUGCGUAGCCGAGCCUGAGAGGGUGGAUCGGCCACAAUGGAACUGAGACACGGUCCAGACUCCUACGGGAGGCAGCAGUAGGGAAUCUUCCGCAAUGGGCGAAAGCUCGACGGAGCAACGCCGCGUGAGUGAUGAAGGUCUUCGGAUCGUAAAACUCUGUUAUUAGGGAAGAACAAAUGUGUAAGUAACUAUGCACGUCUUGACGGUACCUAAUCAGAAAGCCACGGCUAACUACGUGCCAGCAGCCGCGGUAAUACGUAGGUGGCAAGCGUUAUCCGGAAUUAUUGGGCGUAAAGCGCGCGUAGGCGGUUUUUUAAGUCUGAUGUGAAAGCCCACGGCUCAACCGUGGAGGGUCAUUGGAAACUGGAAAACUUGAGUGCAGAAGAGGAAAGUGGAAUUCCAUGUGUAGCGGUGAAAUGCGCAGAGAUAUGGAGGAACACCAGUGGCGAAGGCG